UACAGAGGUCCCAAGCGUUACUGAGAAUCACUGGGUUUAAAGGGUGCGUAGGUGGUCCGUUAAGUCAGUUGUGAAAUCCCCGGGCUCAACCCGGGAAAUGCUUCUGAUACUGGCGGACUUGAGGCCAGUAGGGGUCACUAGAACUGACGGUGGAGCGGUGAAAUGCGUAGAUAUCGUCAGGAAUGCCGGUGGUGAAGACGGGUGACUGGGCUGGUUCUGACACUGAGGCACGAAAGCGGGGGGAGCGAACGGG
rnacentral:rRNA from 1 species